rnacentral:rRNA from 1 species
GACGAACGCUGGCGGCGUGCUUAACACAUGCAAGUCGAACGGAAAGGCCCUGCUUUUGUGGGGUGCUCGAGUGGCGAACGGGUGAGUAACACGUGAGUAACCUGCCCUUGACUUUGGGAUAACUUCAGGAAACUGGGGCUAAUACCGGAUAGGAGCUCCUGCUGCAUGGUGGGGGUUGGAAAGUUUCGGCGGUUGGGGAUGGACUCGCGGCUUAUCAGCUUGUUGGUGGGGUAGUUGCUUACCAAGGCUUUGACGGGUAGCCGGCCUGAGAGGGUGACCGGCCACAUUGGGACUGAGAUACGGCCCAGUCGGCUACGGGAGGCAGCAGUGGGGAAUAUUGCACAAUGGGCGGAAGCGUGAUGCAGCAACGCCGCGUGCGGGAUGACGGCCUUCGGGUUGUAAACCGCUUUCGCCUGUGACGAAGCGUGAGUGACGGUAAUGGGUAAAGAAGCACCGGCUAACUACGUG